AGUUUUGUCUGGAUCCAGGUACCUCAACUAUUGGCCUUACAUGAGUAUUCCCUCUUUCUAGUCCCACUCUUCUCCAACAGAGCUCCCUCACUGAGCGAGCAUUCGACAUUCCUAGUAUGCUCCACUCAUUCUACGCCAAGCACCCAAUCACGGGAUCAGAAUCACACUCUAGAUCAUACCUUUCACGAAAGAAAAGGUCAGGCAGCCGCUGCUAAACCAAGAUCUCCAUCUCUUGACUCCGUCAAUCAAUCUUACAUAGGGCACAAAGGUAUAUUUACCAUACGAGAUGUGUGCACCUACUAA
rnacentral:rRNA from 1 species